rnacentral:rRNA from 1 species
AACGAACGCUGGCGGCAUGCCUAACACAUGCAAGUCGAACGAGACCUUCGGGUCUAGUGGCGCACGGGUGCGUAACGCGUGGGAACCUGCCCUUAGGUUCGGAAUAACUCCCCGAAAGGGGUGCUAAUACCGGAUAAUGUCUUCGGACCAAAGAUUUUUCGCCUUUGGAUGGGCCCGCGUUGGAUUAGCUAGUUGGUAGGGUAAAAGCCUACCAAGGCGACGAUCCAUAGCUGGUCUGAGAGGAUGAUCAGCCACACUGGGACUGAGACACGGCCCAGACUCCUACGGGAUGCAGCAGUGGGGAAUAUUGGACAGUGGGCGAAAGCCUGAUCCAGCAAUGCCGCGUGAGUGAUGAAGGCCUUAGGGUUGUAAAGCUCUUUUACCCGGGAUGAUAAUGACAGUACCGGGAGAAUAAGCUCCGGCUAACUCCGUG